GAUACACAGGAACCCCUCAAGACUGGAGGGGGCAAAGGGGGGCUGCUGGGAAGCGCGAGUCCACACUGAGAAUCUGGAGUAGAGGAGAGCACAUUGCAAACAACCUUUGAAGAAACUGGAGCCUUUGAAAUGGACUCUGUGGGAAAAACAGUUGCAUUUUCUGUAAGAAGCGAAUCUCAACCGUAUAUAAAAGUAGUAUAUCAUAAAACAGAAUGUGAUUAGUAAAACAAUCACAUUCUGCCACAUAAAUGACAUCAAAUCUUGA